AAUCAACGCUGGCGGCGUGCCUCAGACAUGCAAGUCGAACGCGAAAGGUUCCUUCGGGAACCCGGUAGAGUGGCGCACGGGUGAGUAACACGUGGGUAAUUUGCCUUCGGGUGGGGAAUAACAGUCGGAAACGGCUGCUAAUACCGCAUAAUGCUGCGGCAUCAUAAGAUGACAGUUGUUAAAGCGGGGGAUCGUAAGACCUCGCGCCUGAAGAGAAGCCCGCGGCGGAUUAGGUAGUUGGGAGGUAAUGGCUCACCAAGCCCGCGAUCCGUAACCGGCCUGAGAGGGGCGGUCGGUCACACUGACACUGACAUACGGGUCAGACUCCUACGGGGGGCAGCAGUCGGGAAUUUUGGGCAAUGGGCGCAAGCCUGACCCAGCAACGCCGCGUGAAGGAUGAAGCAUUUCGGUGUGUAAACUUCACAAGAAUGGGAAGAAUAAGUUAAGGCGAAUACCCUUGACGAUGACGGUACUAUUUGUAAGCUCCGGCUAACU
rnacentral:rRNA from 1 species